UAAUCAGCCUUCACAAGGACAGAGCUGUGACCCCACUAAUCAGCUUGUGCCACCUAAUCCAUCUCCAGUAGCAGCGUGUGAGAGCUGGCCGGGGCCAUCUUGCUGGCCAGCCUGCGCCUUCCCCUGUGGACGCGGCCCGGGAGGGGAUGGGGCAGCAGAGCCAUGUGUACCACACUCUUUAUACUCAGCACCCUGGCCAUGCUCUGUCGCCGCUGGCUCGCCAACCGGGUCCAACCGUGAGAAACGGGCCAGGUUAUGGGUGGCUGGGGAUGGAGGCUGGGGAGGGGGCCGACUGAGCUGGGCUUGCAAGCGUUGCAGAGGGGGAGGGAAGCAAGUGGUCCAGGAAGGCUGAAAGGUACUGGGGUUGCAGCCUCCUGCCCAGAGUCCAGUGUGGCAUAACCAUGGGGAGGAGUAGGGCAGGGGGCUGGGCAUUGCCCACAGUUCUCCUGCCCACCCUUUGCUUUCACAGAGAGCCCAGUGCAGUGGAUGGAGCCGUAACCAAGAGCUCAGACGCAGAUCUCCAGUGUACCAGCAGGGAGGAAGACCCUCAGAAGUAAGCCCUCCUCUCUUCAGAAUGAGCUCGGCCCCCAAGACCUGGCUCAGCUGGCCCGUGCAGCCCAAGCUCUGCUCUAUGCCCCUGCCCGGAGAGGAUCCUGCCUGGGAGGAAGCAGCAGCAAGCGGUGGGAUGGGAGAGGAGCGGCCACCAGCCCCC